rnacentral:lncRNA from 1 species
AUGUGUUGAUUGCUACAACCGCAUUGUCAUCAUUCCAGAAGGAGAUGGGUAUGUAAACUAUUUUAAAUUAUGAUUGUUAAAUAUUUCAUUAUUGCAUGUUACAUUAUUUUAUUAAUUCAUUUUUAUAUUUAAUUUGCAUGUAAACAUUGAAGAUAUAUUCCUUUUAAAUCAUCUGCAAAGGCAAUUGCUGAAGUCAUACAAGAGAAAUAUAAAAAAUCAUGGUUGUCUUGGGGUGAGAUAAAAGAGGAUAAGAUACCUCAAUUUAAUGAAGUUGAUCAAUUUUUACAUUGUUUCAAAGUAAGUGAUUAGAUUAAAUUAUUUAAUUACUAAUUAUACAUUUGAUUGCUUAAUUGAAUUAUAUUUUUAAUAUUUUGUAAAUUUAAACAAACAACAGACUAAAUGUACUUGGAAAAGAGAGCAUGAUGCUGCAGUUUU